rnacentral:rRNA from 1 species
UGGGGAAUAUUGCACAAUGGGCGCAAGCCUGAUGCAGCCAUGCCGCGUGUAUGAAGAAGGCCUUCGGGUUGUAAAGUACUUUCAGUGGGGAGGAAGGGAGUAAAGUUAAUACCUUUGCUCAUUGACGUUACCCGCAGAAGAAGCACCGGCUAACUCCGUGCCAGCAGCCGCGGUAAUACGGAGGGUGCAAGCGUUAAUCGGAAUUACUGGGCGUAAAGCGCACGCAGGCGGUUUGUUAAGUCAGAUGUGAAAUCCCCGGGCUCAACCUGGGAACUGCAUCUGAUACUGGCAAGCUUGAGUCUCGUAGAGGGGGGUAGAAUUCCAGGUGUAGGGGUGAAAUGCGUAGAGAUAUGGAGGAAUACCGGUGGCGAAGGCGGCCCCCUGGACGAAGACUGACGCUCAGGUGCGAAAGCGUGGGGAGCAAACAGG